rnacentral:rRNA from 1 species
AUACGGAGGAUGCAAGCGUUAUCCGGAUUUAUUGGGUUUAAAGGGUGCGUAGGCGGUUUGCUAAGCGGGAGGUGAAAUGCCGGCGCUCAACGUCGGCAGUGCCUCCCGAACUGGUGGACUUGAAUGACUCUGCCGUGGGAGGAAUGGGUAGUGUAGCGGUGAAAUGCUUAGAGAUUACACAGAACACCGAUUGCGAAGGCAUCUCACGAAGGGUUGAUUGACGCUGAGGCACGAAAGCGUGGGGAUCAAACAGGAUUAGAUACCCUGGUAGUCCACGCAGUAAACGAUGAUGGCUAACCGCUGGAUCCAUCGGUUCAGUGGCCAAGCGAAAGCGAUAAGCCAUCCACCUGGGGAGUACGACCGCUAGGUUGAAACUCAAAGGAAUUGACGGGG